rnacentral:rRNA from 1 species
GCCCCCUCUGGCGGAGCUCGGAAAAGGCCCCAAGAUGGGAUCUCUUGGGUACAGAAGGUUGCGGCGGUGGAAAUAGGGUUCCGUGUUCCUCCUGGAUGUUUGUCGGUUGUCAUGCUUGUGGUCGAUUCAGCCGGGGAUCAACAACGCCGUCAUCGCCGGUGGCAUGGAUACCAUGUCCAAUGCCCCCAAAUACGCUGCAACAACAAGGUAGAAGAUAGCAAUGGAGUGGAUAUGGAUGACUAUAUGAAAGUAUGCAGGUUUCUUAUCAAACUUAACAACGAGAUACUAGGGGUGAUCGACGUGGACUACCGCGACCAGGUGGGCAUCGUGCUCUUCAACCACUCAGAGACGGACUUCACCGUGAAGCCCGGUGACCGCGUCAUAGAGAUGAUUGUCCAGGUGAUUGCAGCGCCGGAGGUCGCCGAGGUGGAGGACCUUGACGCCACCGUCCGGAGUCGU